rnacentral:lncRNA from 10 species
AGGUCAAGGCUGCAGUGAUCCGUGAUCACACCACUGCACUUCGGCGUAAGCAACAGAGCAAGACCCUGUCUCAAAAACACACACACACACAAGGUAAGAUUGGCAGCUAUAGCAGGGAGAAGAUUGUUUUGCCCAGGACUUUUUCCAUUUUAAAACUAAGAGUUCUGCAUCCCAGGAAACCCCGCAGUCCUGGACAAACCUGGAUAGUUGGUCACCCUACCUGCAGUAAAUAUAAAGGUGGGGAUGCAUUCCAAAGGAACUCAGACAGCAAAGGAAGAGAUGGAAAUGGAUCCAAAGCCUGACUUAGAUUCAGAUUCCUGGUGCCUCCUGGGAACAGACUCCUGUAGACCCAGCCUCUAGUCUCCUGAGCCUGUAGAGCCCCCAGGAGACUGGGACCCAAAGAACUUCACAGCACACUUACCGAAUGCAGAGAGCAGCUUUCCUGGCUUUGUUCACUUGCAGAAAAGGAGCGCAAGGCAGAGGCUCUGAAGCACUUUCCUUGUACAUUUGGAGAGUGGCAUUGCCUUUUAGAUAGGAUCUAGGAGUGAUUUUAUUGUUUUGGAGAAUGGAAGGGCCCCCAUGGCCCUGGCUUUGUCAUCAGUGACUGCCAUAGCAACAGCAGCUCUGUACCUCAUCUGUUGAUCCCACCUUUGAAGAGGAGACACAGUGCUCACCUUAAUUGCGCUGGUAGCAGCUUAUAUCCCAUGUAUCAUUUUCACCAUUGAUUGGAAGCUGCCUUGGGAAUUCAGUACCAGGCAUUACCCCUCUGGGUGGGAGAGGGAGAAGUGUAAAGUUGGAGUGGGCUGGAAUCAGGUGUGGCCCGCCCAGUGUCCUCUG